UGGGGAAUUGUUCGCAAUGGGCGCAAGCCUGACGACGCAACGCCGCGUGGAGGAUGAAGAUCUUCGGGUCGUAAACUCCUUUCGAUCGAGACGAAUGGCCUUUGGGCUAAUCACCAGAGGUAUGACGGUACCGAGAGAAGAAGCCCCGGCUAACUCCGUGCCAGCAGCCGCGGUAAUACGGGGGGGGCAAGCGUUGUUCGGAAUUACUGGGCGUAAAGGGCUCGUAGGCGGCCAACUAAGUCAGACGUGAAAUCCCUCGGCUUAACCGGGGAACUGCGUCUGAUACUGGAUGGCUUGAAUCCGGGAGAGGGAUGCGGAAUUCCAGGUGUAGCGGUGAAAUGCGUAGAUAUCUGGAGGAACACCGGUGGCGAAGGCGGCAUCCUGGACCGACAUUGACGCUGAGGCGCGAAAGCCAGGGGAGCAAA
rnacentral:rRNA from 1 species